UUUGGUCUCAGCCCCCCCACGCCUGAGGGGCUCGGCGGUCACCCCUCUCCCGCACGCCGACCCCCUUUCUCAGUGGGCUCCGCAAGCCAAGCGGGCUGCGCCUGCAGCCUGCGAGAGCGGACGGGGCGACCCCAGCCUCAGCCACCUCCCAGGCUUUCAGGCAGCUCCUGUUUAUUUCUCUUGUAAGCGGCAAUUCAUUACUUUCUUUCCGCCGCGGAACAGAAGGUGCUGCGUCCGCGGUUUGUAACCCUGAUGCCUCCGCAGCAAUGAGUCGGUCUUGAAACACUGAAACUCAAAAGGAAACUGAAGCACUAUGGACAAAACCCUGCAGAAAGUAUCUGUGGCCUUUCAGAGGAAAGGGGAAAUUAUCUCUUUAGCUCUGCUGCUUGUGGGGGAGAGGCCCAGGGCUUGGCACAUUACUUGCAGCUCAGUGACACUGCAUCCUGGGUCCUGGAGCAGUCCUUGACAAGCCAGUAAUUGAGGUAAAGAGAACAAUGCCAGGCCAUCGAAUGGAAGGUUCUGGAUGGACUGCUAAACCUCCGUUGAAAGGCUCAAUGACUGUAACCAGGAUGCCCACGUCAUGGAGUUGGCCAUGGUUCGGGCCUCAGAGUCUGCCACAUCUAAGGUUGCUUGGAGGGCUGCCCUUGCCACUGCUUUGCCCUCUUCAAAAAUAGCCAGGAAUUCCUUCCUGGAUUCCUCUGGCAGCAAGUCUGAGAACUUGGCCAUGGAAUGCCAGAGGUUAAAAUCAUAGUGACCAAAUAACACCUGCUGGUUGGCCACUCAUAGUUGG